UGGCGGACGGGUGAGUAUGUCUGGGAAACUGCCUGAUGGAGGGGGAUAACUACUGGAAACGGUAGCUAAUACCGCAUAACGUCGCAAGACCAAAGAGGGGGACCUUGGGCCUCUUGCCAUCGGAUGUGCCCAGAUGGGAUUAGCUAGUAGGUGGGGUAACGGCUCACCUAGGCGACGAUCCCUAGCUGGUCUGAGAGGAUGACCAGCCACACUGGAACUGAGACACGGUCCAG
rnacentral:rRNA from 1 species